rnacentral:rRNA from 1 species
UACGAAGGGGGCUAGCGUUGCUCGGAAUCACUGGGCGUAAAGCGCACGUAGGCGGUUUUUUAAGUCAGGGGUGAAAUCCUGGAGCUCAACUCCAGAACUGCCUUUGAUACUGAGAAGCUUGAGUCCGGGAGAGGUGAGUGGAACUGCGAGUGUAGAGGUGAAAUUCGUAGAUAUUCGCAAGAACACCAGUGGCGAAGGCGGCUCACUGGCCCGGUACUGACGCUGAGGUGCGAAAGCGUGGGGAGCAAACAGG